GGCAGCGGUUUCUAGAUGACGUGCCUUCCCCCCUGUCUGCAAAUUCUGGUCGGGGCUCGACCAUGCCGUUUAGAUGUCAGCGGGGAGGAGGGGCGCGGAAGAAUCACCGCGCUUGGAUUUAGCGAUGGUCUCUGCAAUCGGAAGGGCCUAACUCCUAGGAGGCCUCUCCAAGAGUGAUCUGUUUCAAAGGAAGUCUGGCACAACUCCUGGUCACCCUUCAGCUACCAAGAACAUGGUUGUGUUCUGGGAGAACACAUUGUAUAGGUACCUGCUUAAUCCUAACAAGGAUAUAUUCCAUGAUGUGCGCAAUAUUUGAGGACGCUAAUUAAUUGCCGCGAACCUUGCAAUGGAAACGGCAAAAAUUGCUACUCCAAGAGUCGAUCGUGCCACUAUAUAAACAGCCCCUAAGGAACAACCUAAGCACAACCAAAACCAAAAGGUCAAUACGAGAAAGAAAACUACUACGUUAUGGCUGUAAUCCAGAGCAACACCAGGGUUCUGUGCUUGAUGGCUCUUCUGAUGAUUUCGACCACUUUGUUGUCCAUUCAAGCAUCAGGGAGGAACAUAGGUCUGGAAGCCAACACUGGUGCCGUAAGAUCAGAAGCCAACGCUGGCACUGAGGAGAACCGCGAACCCUACCUUCCACCCCCGUGUGAUCCUAAAUAUUGUGAUGAAGCCUGUAAGGAAGAUAAGCACAAAGUUGGGACAUGCCAUAAAGACGAUGGUGGUUGCUGGUGCAGCUAGACGACACUUCCUAGGUGUUGCAGAAUUUUUUAGCAAGGAAUUGACCGAGAAUAAAGUUAUGAAAUAAGAC